rnacentral:rRNA from 1 species
CCAACCGGGAUUGCCUUAGUAACGGCGAGUGAAGCGGCAAAAGCUCAAAUUUGAAAUCUGGUACCUUCGGUGCCCGAGUUGUAAUUUGGAGAGGGCAACUUUGGGGCCGUUCCUUGUCUAUGUUCCUUGGAACAGGACGUCAUAGAGGGUGAGAAUCCCGUGUGGCGAGGAGUGCGGUUCUUUGUAAAGUGCCUUCGAAGAGUCGAGUUGUUUGGGAAUGCAGCUCUAAGUGGGUGGUAAAUUCCAUCUAAAGCUAAAUAUUGGCGAGAGACCGAUAGCGAACAAGUACAGUGAUGGAAAGAUGAAAAGAACUUUGAAAAGAGAGUGAAAAAGUACGUGAAAUUGUUGAAAGGGAAGGGCAUUUGAUCAGACAUGGUGUUUUGUGCCCUCUGCUCCUUGUGGGUAGGGGAAUCUCGCAUUUCACUGGGCCAGCAUCAGUUUUGGUGGCAGGAUAAAUCCAUAGGAAUGUAGCUUGCCUCGGUAAGUAUUAUAGCCUGUGGGAAUACUGCCAGCUGGGACUGAGGACUGCGACGUAAGUCAAGGAUGCUGGCAUAAUGGUUAUAUGCCGCCCGUCUUGAAACACGGACCUCCUGUGUGAGGGGUCCCCCCUAUA